GACGAACGCUGGCGGCGUGCCUAAUACAUGCAAGUCGAGCGGACUUAAAAAGCUUGCUUUUUAAGUUAGCGGCGGACGGGUGAGUAACACGUGGGCAACCUGCCUGUAAGACUGGGAUAACUUCGGGAAACCGGAGCUAAUACCGGAUAAUCCUUUUCUACUCAUGUAGAAAAGCUGAAAGACGGUUUACGCUGUCACUUACAGAUGGGCCCGCGGCGCAUUAGCUAGUUGGUGAGGUAACGGCUCACCAAGGCGACGAUGCGUAGCCGACCUGAGAGAGUGAUAGGCCACACUGGGACUGAAACACGGCCCAGACUCCUACGGGAGGCAGCAGUAGGGAAUCUUCCGCAAUGGACGAAAGUCUGACGGAGCAACGCCGCGUGAGUGAUGAAGGUUUUCGGAUCGUAAAACUCUGUUGUUAGGGAAGAACAAGUACGAGAGUAACUGCUCGUACCUUGACGGUACCUAACCAGAAAGCCACGGCUAACUACGUG
rnacentral:rRNA from 1 species